GCUUAGCUAAAGGAUCCAUUCAGAACUCACCUAGUUAGAAGGGUAUGUAGUCUGUGACUCAUGUUAUUUUAAUAUAUUAUUUAUACUAAAAAAUUAAGCUUGUCAGUGAAACUCAAGUCUUGAUUCAACACUUAUUUUAAAAAAUGAAGUAGAACCACCAAUCCCUGUACAUUCUAAAAAGCAUGACUCUCAGGCACAGCCAUUGGCUGUGUGAUAAUGUUAAUUCUUUGAAUACUCAAGACAAAAUCUUCCAGAAGGAAUAUGUAUUAAUGGUUAAUUUCAGGAGUCAUUUGUUUCCUUUUGGAAAAAUGAAGCUUCUGCACAAUGUGUCAAAAUGCACGUUUUGGGAGAUCUACUGAUAAAUGCUGAAACCAACCAGACUUUCAAAGUUAAUCUGACAUAGAAAUACCUGCAGCCAUCAACACUGCAUUUUUCAAGGUUAUCUACCUACUGGGAAGUGCUUAUUUCUACAAGGCACCUUUGAUUUUGUUUCAAUUUCCUUGUCUCUGUCAUGUAAAUAGAUAUUUGAAGAUUUUUACUUGCAGAGGCUUCAUAUUUAUUAUUUACUGGAGAAGAAAAGUCAUCCAUUAUUUGUACUUUGAAUCAUUCUCUGAUAUGUCCUUUCAUAAAGCAUAUAUUAUUUUAAAUUGCCAGUGACUAUUACAGAAUGCUGUUCAAAAUCCGACCAAUCUUAUGUUAAUAUGAAAUAGUAGAUAUGAAGUUUGAGAAUUAGCAUCAAUUUUUUUUCUGGUUCUCUAAGUACAUUAAGUAUUCUGUAUUUUACACUUUGGCCCAAUAUCUACCUUACUAUGAGUUAAGGGCUAAAUAUUAGUAACUUUAUCACAUCUCUAAUGAUUUACAUAAUUUCUAAAUAUCAAUAGCAAGGAUUUCUGAAAGAGGAAGAGUGUUGCUUAUAGAGUUUAACAACUUAAUCUGUUUUCAUCAUAACCACUGAUCAUACUUACCAAAAAGAGAAUGGAAGGGUCAAGCUGACUUCAAAAUACACAUUGUCUUCUGGAAUGAAUGACAGGUACAGCCUGAGUGGGAUGUCUGGCAACUAUGACUAAGGCUGGCAAUGAUCAGAUCUCCUCAGAACAUGUUCAGUGUACGCAGCCAUUGCUCAACACCAUCCUGCUGUAUGGUGCUAUAGGAAACCUCAAGUCCCUAAGUGUGUGUGUGUGUGUGUGUGUAAGGGAUAGUGAUCCUUUUAGUUCCAGCCCUGUAGACCUAAGAUAAGUGCUAUGAAACAUUUCUCAAAAGAGUACAUAGUAUACCUAGGAACACAGCAGAGAAUGGUUGGGAUUUUUAUUUGACAUUUUGGUAUCUGGGAAAUAUUUUAUAUAUAAAGGAUACUUUUUAUUAUUCAAUUGUAUAGAUUCAGUGCAGUGUUUGCGAUGGAUAGCAUGUCUACACUGUGUUUAUACUUGUGUCUUCAGAAAUCCCACCCUCAUCCAGGCAAGACCAGCAGGAGGUUUCUGGGCAGUUCUCCAUUGUAAAGGUAUCCCAACAUGCCCUGGGAAAUGAAACCUUCUGAUAAGCUUUAUCUCUCCCUUCUCCAUUCUUUCUUUCCCUUUUAAAGAAAUACUGGGGGUAAAGGAAGAAAAUCAUUCCUCAAAUCUACUUUAUUCUCUUUUAAUAACCUAUUUCUGACUGUGACUAUACACACACACAAACACAUACACAAUCAACAUAUAUGUGUAUAUUAAAUUUGAGUGGUUAUUUUAGUAGCUUUAUUUUUGCUUAAUUUGACAAAUUUCAAAGUGCUUACUUCAUGGAAUGUCAAUAAAAUCAAAUCGUUUCGUGACUAGCCAACUUGGCAAUGUUUUGACCACACAGACAUUUUCAGUUCCUUCUCUUUCUUAGACAAGCAGAAAUAUCCUUGAGUGGGGAAAAAAAAAUCACAAGACCCUGAACAGAUUUCUGCUAGGGUCUCUCUUGGAAAUGAAAAUUAAAUGAUGGGUAUAAAUGACUGCUGUCACUAUGGUGUAUAAUGAUCUCAAAUGUAUUUUUCACAAAUUUAGCCAGAACUUCUCCCCAAGGUACUCCAAUAGGUGUCUGACUCCUCAUGUACACCGAAUUCUAGUAAGGCAGGGUGGUGUGGAGAUGGGGAGAAAGUCCUCAGUGCUAACCUCAGAUAAGUAAUGAAAAUAAUAGCAGGGUGAGCAGAUACAAUCUUGAUAAAAUAGAGAGCAAGCUUCUAGUACUUUGAUGAUUACUUUUUGGUCAUGAAAGCCUGUAUUGAUUGCACGUGUAUUGUUACCUAUGGAAGAAUUAUGUGAUAAGAAACAAUCUCAUUGUUGGAAAUGAAUUAGAAAAUCUUGUUACUGAAAAAUUGUCAUUGUGAAAGCUUCUGACUUAUCUAUACAUAAAUGUUGCUCUGUCAAAGAAGGUAGCUGGUCUAGUUCACCUUUGAUUUUCCUUCCAAACUGAGUAUCUUGUUUUCCAGGCAUUGUAAUCCAGACGUUACCUGGUCACCAUGUCAUUUAAUCAUUUCAACAUGACUCUUUAAGAUUGACACUUAAUUUCCAUAGAAAAAAUACAUAUGAUUCAUUCUGUGUUUAUUUUUAAGGUAAAUUUACCUACAUUGGGUAAUAAAGAAGGGAUAGCCACAAAAAUACCCUAUUCCAAAGCUUGAAAAUUAAAUGUUAAAAUUUUACUUUAGUUUUUUUGUGUGUGUGUGAAGAAACUAUGAACAUUUAUCAAAGGCAGAGCAACAAGAUCUCCAGAGAAGAUGUCAGGCUAUAGAUAGACUCAUUAGAUAUGAAAAAAUAAAGAUAUUUAAUGAUAGUCUCAAUUAUUUGCAUCUCAAAAUUUUUAACAGACUUUCUAACUAAUAGUGAAUACAUUCUCUGAAGAUACUUUUCCAUUAUGGUUAAAAUAACUCUAACUUGGGGAGCACAAUAGACAAAAGAAUGCAAGGUUCACUUAUUGGUUGUUAUUUCUGUUUUUGGCAAAACAAAUUAUCAACAUGCUGUUCUAAAUAUCAUCCUGACUAAUGCUGAUUCUUCCAUAUAUUACUUGUCUUGGUCAAAACCCCAAAGUCUGAAUUCUUUCUUAGUCUUUAAUAAAACAAUGUGAUAUGUUAAAAUACUUGAAUCAAGGAUGGUAAAUUUCAGUUGUGUUGUACUUUUAGUUAUAAGGAUUCUAUGGAGUA
ensembl:lncRNA